rfam:Candidatus Yanofskybacteria bacterium RIFCSPHIGHO2_01_FTLL_44_17 rifcsphigho2_01_scaffold_2067, whole genome shotgun sequence.
UGCGGGAUCGUCUAAUGGUAGGACACGUGCCUCUGAAGCACGGUAUCUUGGUUCAAGUCCAAGUCCCGCAG